rnacentral:rRNA from 1 species
CAGCCGCCACGGUAAUACGGAGGAUCCAAGCGUUAUCCGGAUUUAUUGGGUUUAAAGGGUGCGUAGGUGGCCUGUUAAGUCAGGGGUGAAAGACGGUAGCUUAACUAUCGCAGUGCCCUUGAUACUGAUGGGCUUGAAUGAACUAGAGGUAGGCGGAAUGUGACAAGUAGCGGUGAUAUGCAUAGAUAUGUCUCAGAACACCAAUUGCGAAGGCAGCUUACUAUGGUUUUAUUGACACUGAGGCACGAAAGCGUGGGGAUCAAACAGGAUUAGAUACCCGUGUAGUCCCUGUCUCUUAUAC